CCUACGGGCGGCAGCAGUAGGGAAUCUUCCACAAUGGACGAAAGUCUGAUGGAGCAACGCCGCGUGAGUGAAGAAGGGUUUCGGCUCGUAAAGCUCUGUUGGUAGUGAAGAAAGAUAGAGGUAGUAACUGGCCUUUAUUUGACGGUAAUUACUUAGAAAGUGACGGAUAACUACGUGCCAGCAGCCGCUGUAAUACGUAGUUGGCAAGCGUUGGCCGGAUGUAUUGGGCGUAAAGAGAGUGCAGGCGGUUCAAUAAGCCUGAUGUGAAAGCCUGCGGGUCAACCGGAGGAUUUCAGCAGAAACGGGUGAACUUGAGUGCAGAAGAGGAGAGUGGAACGGCAUGUGUAGCGGUGGGAGGCGUAGAGAUAUGGAAGAACACAAGUGGAGAAGGCGGCUCUCUGGUCUGCAACUGACGAGGAGGCUCGAAAGCAUGGGUAGCGAACAGGAUUAGAUACCCUGGUAGUC
rnacentral:rRNA from 1 species